rnacentral:rRNA from 1 species
CCAAUAGCGUAUAUUAAAGUUGUUGCAGUUAAAAAGCUCGUAGUUGAAUUUCGGGAUCAAUAUAUCGGUCGUGCCAUCGGUACGUACUGGUAUCAUUGGUUUCUCCUUUCUGACGAACCAUGAUGUCAUUAAUUUGGUGUCAUGGGAAGUUAGGACUGUUACUUUGAAAAAAUUAGAGUGUUUAAAGCAGGCUAACGCUUGAAUACAUUAGCAUGGAAUAAUGAAAUAGGACGUUCGAUCCUAUUUUGUUGGUUUCUAGGAUUGACGUAAUGAUUAAUAGGGAUAGUUGGGGGCAUUAGUAUUCAAUUGUCAGAGGUGAAAUUCUUGGAUUUAUUGAAGACUAACUACUGCGAAAGCAUUUGCCAAGGAUGUUUUCAUUAAUCAAGAACGAAAGUUAGGGGAUCGAAGACGAUCAGAUACCGUCGUAGUCUUAACCAUAAACUAUGCCGACUAGGGAUCGGAUGAUGUUAAUUUUUUAAUGACUCAUUCGGCGCCUUACG